rfam:Human gut metagenome DNA, contig sequence: In-A_001584.
GGUCAAAAAUAAAAAAGAUAAUGAAAACAAUGUUCGUAAAUACAUAUUGGUGGUGGCAUCCGUUACAACUCCGGCAGUCGUAAGGGAGCAGUGCUCGUAUGUAUAUAUGUACAAUAUAGAUAUAUAAAAGAGCCCUGUC